GAUGUUUAACUGGGUGGUGAAAGUGGUCCCCCAACUUCCUGAAGUUCCCGGGACAGAAGAAGCUCCUAAGAACCCUGCUGCUGACCAACCUAAAAACAGAUCAGUGAAGAGUCCUCCACUGAAAAACACAGAAGAGGCUUCAGAGGACAGCCAGAACCAGACUGGAGUUUUAGGCUGGCUGUCCAAUGGGUUCGUCAGCUCACUGCCUCAACCUUCUGGCUCCCCUCGACUCAGCAGGUCCAACUCUGAUGCCAAGUCAGGAGAGGAUGGAGAAAGGUCCGGAGUGAUCGGCUGGGUCGCUCAGGGUCUCACCAAGGUGUUGCCUCAGCCUGAUGAAAAGUACAAAGAGACUAAUUGCAACAACGGCAACGAAGAACACACUGAGGUGUAUGAAGUAGCCACAAUGCCAGAUUUCGAUCCCCUCCCACACAUCCCGGUGGUGGAGAUGGUGUCAGAGGACGAGGCGUCAGAGGUAGAGAGUCAGAGACUGCUCCCUCCCAACAUGGUGAACUGGAUAAAGCAGAUGGUCCCGCAGCCAGUUAUGCUGCCCCCUGGUGCCGUACCUAUAGAACCAUACUCCAAGUCCACCCGCUCCUCUCUGGACAAAGUUUUGUCUCCACCACCUGAGUCUCUCAGUGGAAUCUCACUGGAUACUGAUAGCAAGGCCUCAGGUGUGGUUGGCUGGUUCGUGUCAGGACUGGGCCUGAAGCUUCCUCAGCCUGCCGUCCCACCCAAAGACGACACUGGGGGUGCAGCUGAAGUUAUACAGAAAGGGGGGAAGGCGCUGCGAGCCCCUUAAACAGCAGGAGGAGACGACUGGGGGACGCUCUGAUUCCCACACAGGCAGACAGGCAGACAGACACAUACCAAUAGACAUAUUGUACUGUUGGCAGAAGUGCAGGUGCUGUGCAGCCGUGCAGCUCAGUGCAGAAACAAGGCAGCUGUAAAAUACUACAAGAAUAUAAAGAUAUAUAUUCAACUCACCUUACUGUAUUCAAUACAGUUUCAUAUGAAUGUAUUACAACUUAAAAUGUGUGCACUAAUAUAUAUAUAUAUAUAUAACAAAAUUGGUACUGUAUAUUCAUAGCUAAUCGAUGUUGUGUUUUGUCUUUAGUCUUUGUGAUUUGAAUUUGCACAUUUUCUGUGUGACACAGAAACAUUUAGUAUUCGCCAUUUAUUUGAAAUUCCUGUAGGUGUCAUGCACAAAAGGUUGCAGACGGGAUAUUUUUCUGCUACUUUAAUGUGCUUUAACCUAUGGCAAUGUACACUGUAUAUUCAUGUUGCCAUUUUCAUAUCCAGAAAAAGAAUAAUAGGAGGUAGAAAAUAUGAUGUACUGAUCAUUAAUUUAAUUAUUAAUUUCUGUUUAGAAGCAUAAAAUGUCAAAUCUUCCGUUCCCAGUUCCCAGAAAUAUUGAAAUAAUAAUUAAAUGGCAGCUAUACUUAUUUAUUAUUGAGUUGUUUAUGGACAAGUAAAACUACAUUUAUAUUUAUACUCGAUUUGUAGAGGGAAUUAUAAUAAUAGCUUAUUUUUCAUGUGUAAGUCCUACUUAUUAAGAACCUGUUCAUUACUAUGCUUAAAGAAAGUUCAGCUCAGUUUGGGUCUUGAUCAUGUUACAGUGGGUAUAAGCUUUUCCACAGGUUUAACAGAGGCUGCACAACACAAAUGUAAAAGUAUACAUGCAGUGUAAGGCCUAUUUUGAUCCACUUGAUCUAAUUUUAUGGCCUUGAACUGUGAAUGUGGCCUGGGGAUGUGGUUUGGUGUUGUGACUUGAUUUGACCGAGCCAUACUUUGCUCACAUUGAAAAUGCUGUCAUGCAGACAAGGUGUUAGAACAUAUGAUUACGUCGUGUAAUGUGAGGAUACUGCAGGAAUAAUAAAGAUUUGGUGUGAAAUCAUUUAUGUGGUGGUCUUAUCAAUAACCUUCCUUACAGAUAUAUAAGAUAACUUAAGUCUGACAGCAUCCUUCCCCAUCUGGAACACUUUGCAUCCUUUACACCACUGGUUCCCAACCGGUCGUCAAAGCUUCACAGGGUGUCACAAGACCUUCUUGAUUUUAAUGGGUGUAAGAAAAAUAAAUAUAUAUAGUAGGCCUAUAUCUCAUCAUUUAAUUCAUGCAGCUAAAACAACCAAAAAGCAGAAAAAAGAGAGAGAAGAGAAGAUAAACACUGAAUUUGUCAAAAAAGAAGCCUAU
rnacentral:lncRNA from 15 species